UACGGAAGGGGCAAGCGUUGUUCGGAAUCAUUGGGCGUAAAGGGCGCGUAGGUGGCUCUGUAUGUCUACCGUGAAAGCAUACAGCUCAACUGUAUUUUGUCGGUAGAAACUGCAGGACUUGAGGCUGGGAGGGGCUGGUGGAAUUCCGCGUGUAGCAGUGAAAUGCGUAGAGAUGCGGAGGAACACCGAUGGCGAAGGCAGCCCCCUGGGCCGACAUUGACGCUCAGGCACGAAAGCGUGGGGAGCAAACAGG
rnacentral:rRNA from 1 species